GGUCCUGUCUGUGCAACCUAUUUAACUAUUUCCCCUCCAGCACUCUCUCAUACAUGGUAACGUCACAAGCUCUGAGGAAGAAGGGCAACAUCCAAAUUUGAAGAGUAGAAGAAAAUAGCCUUGGGGUCUAAGCAGAUGUUUUUGAGAAGUGGUGCCUUCUGGGAAGAAAGGAAAAGCAGCCAUUAUUAAAAAUGGAGGACCACCAUGACUGCACUGGCAGGAAGGAUGGCAACUAAGGCUGCAACCCCAGUUACCUGAAUCUAACACAAGGGAUAAAGCUGGCUUCUUGUAGUGUGAUUAGGGAUGUCAGAGAAUUCCAACAAAAAAUGGAGGAGGAAGCAGAAAUUGCUGCAAUUCAUGUGUUUGCUUGCCAUCAGGAAUAGAAAUUAGUCAAGUGAAUAGGACGACAUUCAUUUACAUUGCUGCUGGUGGUUAUUUUAAUUCUGCAAAUAAUACAUAGUUGAUCACAGGGAUUUAGAUUAUCUUCACAUUUCCUUUGCACUGAAAUGAAUGUAAGUUACCUAAGUUCUAUGCCAUGGAACAGAAGCUGAGGCGUUCAUCCAACAAGUGACACCCACCUUGCACCUUCCUUAGGAAGAGUGGUGUGGGCUCAGCUCUUUGUGCAGCAAGGGGCCAGAGUCCUGGGACUCAGCCA